GGAUAGGAUGGGUAAUUAGCAUGGCAUUAUAAUAUAUAUAUACUUGUAUAUAGGAAAAAUAUUCAAAUCAUUAAGACAUUGUAUCGAAAGUGGAGCCACAAGUAAGCCAUGUCUAGAUUGUCAGAUAAAAUAAUUUGAAAUACCAUAACCACAGAGCUAAAUGUUCAGUUGGAUUUGGAAUUUCAAACAAAAAUUAUCUGUUUUUAUUUUUUGAUUUUUUUUCAAUGGCAAAAUUUAACUAAAAAUCGAGGUUAAGGAUCGGCUUUUUUGGUUUUCGCUUUUUACGCAGUAUCGUUUUGAAUUUACCACAAAUCUUAGCAAACAUAUGGAGAAGAUUAUGUCCAUUGGAAAUUAAAAAGCUCAAACGGAUAUGAGGCUAUCGCUGGAAUUGAAAGAGGAAAGAAAAUUAUAUCGGAAGAGGAUUUACAAGAAAGUCUUGUUUAGCUUGUCAACUAAAAUUAUUUAAAUUUAAAUUUGUAAAAAGUGAAGCAGAUUAGGCUCAUUGGAACUUUAAAAAAUGUACACAAAUAAUUAUGAAUAAUGGUAUAAAAUUUAUACAUAUGAACAUUAGAAUGGAUAUUUUAAAAUGGAAUCAAGAGGAACAAGUGAUAAUGAACAAUGGAAUGAAAUCUUUGCGAAUGAACAUGAGGAACAGUACACUGAAGAGGGGAACAUAACUAAACCCAAAAAAUAUAGGAAAACGUGAAUGACUCAAUUAAAUCAAGAAAGUAAAUGAACCCUAAAUGAUUAUUACUGAACAUACAUUUAGCGGCUGAAGAUACAUAAUACUGUUGAACAUACAUAAUGCUAAAGAACAUACA